ensembl:lncRNA
CCCUUAAAACUAGCAGUUCUGUUGGAUAUGUAAGAUCCUGAACUAUGAAUAAAAGUAGAUGAAAGGUUGAAAUGUUUGAAGUAGGAGGGGCACACCGGCUUAAUGCUUAACACGAUUGCCUUGUGCCUCUGGGGUUGGGGGGUUCGAAUCCCGCCUCUUCCCCGUGUGCACGGAGUUUGCAUGUUCUCACUGUGCUUUGAGGGUUUCCUCUUUGAGGGUACUCUGGUUUCCUCCCCCCCAGUCCAAAGAUAUGCACUGUAGGCAUGUCCGUAGUGUGUGAACGUGUAUGCGAUCGUACCCUGCGAUGGGUUGGCACCCUGUCCAGAGUGUCCUCUUCCUUGUGUCCCGAGUUCACUGGGAUUGCCUUCAGGAUUCCCCACCUGACCUUGUGCAGGAUAAAGAGGUACUUCAAAAAUCAUGCAUAGAUAGCAGCCAUAAGAACAGGACAAAACUGUGACAAAUGGCUUUGAAAAGCAGUUCUGACACAGUUGGGAAAGCCCUAAAACCUCCAAGCUAUAAAGGCCUAUGUGAGUUCCAGAUUAUUGUUUUCCUGAAUUCUUGUGUGC